UUGCUUUCUUUUAUUUUUUUUUUAUUUUUCUGGAUCAUUCACUUAUUUGCAUCGGUCCCCUAUGUAGAGGAUGCGUAGGCCGGAGUUGACUGCUAGGAUAAACUACUGAGGACUUAUACGGAAAUGAUGAUUAAGGCCAUGGUAUAUGGGGUUUCGGGAAUGAUUCAUAUAUUUACGAAGUCUAUGGUGCUAAAAUAAUACUGAUGUUUCGCAAAGUUCUCCCAAGUCACCGCAUCCUUACUCAAAACAUGUCUUUAAAACCUGAAAACUUUUGGAAUAACACUGUUUUCUUUUGCAAAAAAAUUUUGGUGGGGCUAAAAGGUAUGGGGAGAUUAGAUUAUACUAAAGAUCUACUAUAUUCGGUGACUCGUCAGACUCAUGCAUUAUACUAAAAAGAAA
rnacentral:lncRNA from 1 species